AAACCUGAGAGCGUGGAUGGUGAGAGGCCGUUAGAAUCCCUCCGUAGGUCCUGAAAAAUCUAAGCCUGCAUUUGCUACAGAACUGAAAGAUUUGAUCAUGGAAGAUAUCACCAUAAAAGCAGAGCCUCAGGAACCAGUGAUAUUUGAAGAUGAGGCUGUGUACUUCACGGAGCAGGAAUUGGCCAGCUUGACACUUGAUCAGAAGGCCCUGCACGAGGAAGUGGUGCUUGAGAACUUUGCACAUGUGGCUUUGCUGGAGUAUAUUGAAAAACUGAGGAAGUAUAUUCAGCUGGCUGGAGCAGAAACAUCCAGGAUGGAGGCUUUCCUCUAGGUCAGGUGUACCAGGAAGGCAGAGCCAUGUUACUGCUCCUAAGUGCAGUCUUUUCUGUAGUCAUGCAUAUUUCUUUAGAUGUAAUGCUUUUUAGCUCAUUAAAGUUGUUCAUUAUCAUGUGCAAA
rnacentral:lncRNA from 1 species